AUUGAACGCUGGCGGCAGGCCUAACACCUGCAAGUCGAACGAGCGGCGGACGGGUGAGUAAUUUAUGGGAAUCUGCCCGAUAGAGGGGGAUAACUACUGGAAACGGUGGCUAAUACCGCAUACUAUCGGAUGCGCCCAUCGUGGAUUAGCUAGUAGGUGAGGGAAAGGCUCACCUAGGCGACGAUCUCUAGCUGGUCUGAGAGGAUGACCAGCCACACUGGGACUGAGACACGGUCCAGACUCCUACGGGAGGCAGAAGUGGGGAAUAUUGCACAAUGGGCGCAAGCCUGAUGCAGCCAUGCCGCGUGUAUGAAGAAGGCCUUAGGGUUGUAAAGUACUUUCAGCGGGGAGGCGUUACUCGCAGAAGAAGCACCGGCUAACUCCGUGCCAGCAGCCGCGGUAAUUC
rnacentral:rRNA from 1 species